CAGUAAGCGCGAGUCAUUAGCUGGCGUUGAUUACGUCCCUGCCCUUUGUACACACCGCCCGUCGCUACUACCGAUUGAAUGGUUUAGUGAGGUCCUCCGAUUGGACCCGGUCCGGGCGGCGACGUCCGAGCCGGCGUCCGAGAAGACGAUCUAACUUGAUCAUUUAGAGGAAGUAAAAGUCGUAACAAGGUUUCCGUAGGUGAACCUGCGGAAGGAUCAUUA
rnacentral:ncRNA from 1 species